UGUCUACGGACCAAAGGGGGCUUCGGCUCUCGCCUUUAGAUUGGCCCAAGUGGGAUUAGCUAGUUGGUGAGGUAAUGGCUCACCAAGGCAACGAUCCCUAGCUGGUUUGAGAGGAUGAUCAGCCACACUGGAACUGAGACACGGUCCAGACUCCUACGGGAGGCAGCAGUGGGGAAUAUUGCACAAUGGGCGCAAGCCUGAUGCAGCCAUGCCGCGUGUGUGAAGAAGGCCUUCGGGUUGUAAAGCACUUUCAGUCAGGAGGAAAGGUUAGUAGUUAAUACCUGCUAGCUGUGACGUUACUGACAGAAGAAGCACCGGCUAACUCCGUGCCAGCAGCCGCGGUAAUACGGAGGGUGCGAGCGUUAAUCGGAAUUACUGGGCGUAAAGCGUACGCAGGCGGUUUGUUAAGCGAGAUGUGAAAGCCCCGGGCUCAACCUGGGAACUGCAUUUCGAACUGGCAAACUAGAGUGUGAUAGAGGGUGGU
rnacentral:rRNA from 1 species